rnacentral:rRNA from 1 species
GCAGUAGGGAAUCUUCCGCAAUGGACGAAAGUCCGACGGAGCAACGCCGCGUGAGUGAUGAAGGCUNNNGGGUCGUAAAACUCUGUUGUUAGGGAAGAACAAGUGCUAGUUGAAUAAGCUGGCACCUUGNCGGUACCUAACCAGAAAGCCACGGCUAACUACGUGCCAGCAGCCGCGGUAAUACGUAGGUGGCAAGCGUUAUCCGGAAUUAUUGGGCGUAAAGCGCGCGCAGGUGGUUUCUUAAGUCUGAUGUGAAAGCCCACGGCUCAACCGUGGAGGGUCAUUGGAAACUGGGAGACUUGAGUGCAGAAGAGGAAAGUGGAAUUCCAUGUGUAGCGGUGAAAUGCGUAGAGAUAUGGAGGAACACCAGUGGCGAAGGCGACUUUCUGGUCUGUAACUGACACUGAGGCGCGAAAGCGUGGGGAGCAAACAGGAUUAGAUACCCUGGUAGUCCACGCCGUAAACGAUGAGUGCUAAGUGUUAGAGGGUUUCCGCCCUUUAGUGCUGAAGUUAACGCAUUAAGCACUCCGCCUGGGGAGUACGGCCGCAAGGCUGAA